AUUGAACGCUGGCGGCAUGCCUUACACAUGCAAGUCGAACGGCAGCACGGGUGCUUGCACCUGGUGGCGAGUGGCGAACGGGUGAGUAAUACAUCGGAACAUGUCCUGUAGUGGGGGAUAGCCCGGCGAAAGCCGGCUUAAUACCGCAUACGAUCUACGGAUGAAAGCGGGGGACCUUCGGGCCUCGCGCUAUAGGGUUGGCCGAUGGCUGAUUAGCUAGUUGGUGGGGUAAAGGCCUACCAAGGCGACGAUCAGUAGCUGGUCUGAGAGGACGACCAGCCACAUGGGGACUAGGACACGGCCCAGACUCCUACGGGAGGCAGCAGUGGGGAAUUUUGGACAAUGGGCGAAAGCCUGAUCCAGCAAUGCCGCGUGUGUGAAGAAGGCCUUCGGGUUGUAAAGCACUUUUGUCCGGAAAGAAAUCCUUGGCUCUAAUACAGUCGGGGGAUGACGGUACCGGAAGAAUAAGCACCGGCUAACUACGUG
rnacentral:rRNA from 1 species